rnacentral:misc_RNA from 1 species
UUCCAGCACUUGAACACAUCAUGUGGAUUGCCAGAAUAUAUAUUAGUUCCUCUAGAUUGGUUGUGAUAUUUUCUGCCUCAGAAUAGUCCACUACAAUUUAGUAUAUGUUUGUUGCUUCAAACGAGUGGUAUUACGAAAUUAAAACUAGAGGAUGGUUACAGGCUUUUGAGUUCCUUUUGUUUUCUACAUCUUUGGCUUUGUACAUCCACUCUCUUGUUACCCAUUUUCUGCAGCAUUCAAUUGCAAUGUGCUCACCUUUGCUAUUCUUGGGGAAAAAAAGGAAAUGUCAUUUGAG